UACGUAGGGGGCAAGCGUUGUCCGGAAUUAUUGGGCGUAAAGAGCGUGUAGGCGGUCCGGUAAGUCUGCUCUGAAAGCCCGGGGCUCAACCCUGGGAGGCGGGUGGAUACUGCUGAGCUUGAGUCCGGAAGAGGCGAGUGGAAUUCCUGGUGUAGCGGUGAAAUGCGCAGAUAUCAGGAGGAACACCAAUGGCGAAGGCAGCUCGCUGGGACGGUACUGACGCUGAGACGCGAAAACGUGGGGAGCAAACAGG
rnacentral:rRNA from 1 species